CAGCAGCCGCGGGAAUACGAAGGGGGCUAGCGUUACUCGGAAUUACUUGGCGUAAAGGGAGCGUAGGCGGAUGUUUAAGUCAGAGGUGAAAGCCCAGGGCUCAACCUUGGAACUGCCUUUGAUACUGGACAUCUUGAGUGUGGGAGAGGUAAGCGGAACUCCGAGUGUAGAGGUGAAAUUCGUAGAUAUUCGGAAGAACACCAGUGGCGAAGGCGGCUUACUGGCCCAUUACUGACGCUGAGGCUCGAAAGCGUGGGGAGCAAACAGGAUUAGAUACCCCUGUAGUCCCUGUCUCUUAUAC
rnacentral:rRNA from 1 species